rnacentral:tRNA from 1 species
AGUUGGAUGGCCGAGAUAAAUAGGCGGUAAAUUGUAAAUUUAUAGACGAGUUUAACUCUUCAACUA